AUACGGAGGGUGCAAGCGUUAUUCGGAAUCACUGGGCGUAAAGGACGCGUAGGCGGGUUGGCAAGUCAGAUGUGAAAUCCUACAGCUUAACUGUAGAACUGCAUUUGAAACUGCUAACCUAGAGUAUGGGAGGGGGAGAUGGAAUUAGUGGUGUAGGGGUAAAAUCCGUAGAUAUCUCUAGGAAUACCGAAAGCGAAGGCGAUCUCCUGGAACAUAACUGACGCUCAGGCGUGAAAGCGUGGGGAGCAAACAGGAUUAGAUACCCUAGUAGUCC
rnacentral:rRNA from 1 species